rnacentral:rRNA from 1 species
CCUACGGGAGGCAGCAGUGAGGAAUAUUGGUCAAUGGUCGGGAGACUGAACCAGCCAAGCCGCGUGAGGGAUGAAGGUACAGAGUAUCGUAAACCUCUUUUGUCAGGGAACAAAGUCGGGGACGCGUCCCCGGAUGAGUGUACCUGAAGAAAAAGCAUCGGCUAACUCCGUGCCAGCAGCCGCGGUAAUACGGAGGAUGCGAGCGUUAUCCGGAUUUAUUGGGUUUACAGGGUGCGCAGGCGGUCUGUUAAGUCAGAGGUAAAAGCCCGGGGAAAAACCCCGGCCCGCCGUUGAAACUGGCAGUCAUGAGUUGGAGAGAAGUAUGCAGAAAGCGGGGUGCAGCGGUGAAAUGCACAGAUAUCGCGCAGAA